rnacentral:tRNA from 1 species
CGGGGCGUAGCUCAGUUGGCUAGAGUGCCUGCUUUGGGAGCAGGAGGCCGCGCGUUCGAGUCGCGCCGCCCCGACCA